rnacentral:rRNA from 1 species
GACGAACGCUGGCGGCGUGCUUAACACAUGCAAGUCGAACGGAAAGGCCCUGCUUGCGGGGUACUCGAGUGGCGAACGGGUGAGUAACACGUGGGUGAUCUGCCCUGCACUUCGGGAUAAGCCUGGGAAACUGGGUCUAAUACCGGAUAGGAGCCAUUUUUAGUGUGAUGGUUGGAAAGUUUUUUCGGUGUAGGAUGAGCUCGCGGCCUAUCAGCUUGUUGGUGGGGUAAUGGCCUACCAAGGCGGCGACGGGUAGCCGGCCUGAGAGGGUGGACGGCCACAUGGGGACGGGAAAACGGCCCACACCCCACCGGGGGGCGAGAGGGGGGAAUUUUGCAAAAGGGGCGCAAGCCUAAUGCCGGGACCCCGGGGGGGGGGUGCCGGCCUUCGGGUUGUAAACCCCUUUCGCUGGGGACGAAGCUUUUUGUGGCGGUACCGGGAAAAAAAGCCCCGGCUAACUACGU